UGGGGGCUACUGCCUAUUGGAGCAGGGAGAGACCCGAGCCCUCAGCAGAGGCGCAGGCUCCUGGAGACACUAGCACUGCUGCAGAGGUGGGAGGCCCCACUGCAGGGUGAGCAGCCCAUGAGAAGGGCAGGUGGAUGCUGAGGGCAGAGGGAGCCCUGAGCACACGCCCCGCCCACCACGGGUGCUCAGAGAUCACUGGGAAGACCCAAGAAGGAAGUGAGGUUCUAUGUCCUCUGGUGGGUGGAGGGCUGUUGCCUGACGUUAAUGUGGCCCCUUUAUUUCUUGCUGGUGGGGAAGUCUAGGGCAUCCUGGUUGCCAGGAGAAUAACCUGCCCUGCCCGGAGCAGCAGGUUCCGAGGGGCGGGGUGUGCUGAGGAUGCCAGCAGGUGCUUCUAGAAGAAGGACUCUGCUGUGAAAUUUGCAUGGGUAACUGCAUUUGUGUUUUGUUUUUGCUUUUGUUUUUUCUCUGUAACGACCUCAAAAUCUCAGGGGCUGAUAGCAGCAAACAUUUAUUUCUCAUUCAUGAGUCUGUGGGCUGCUUGGGGCAGGGGUUCUGUUUCAGGUCUUGGGUGAGCUCCAGGGCUGCUCCUCGGGCUGCUCCUGGAGCCAGGGGACCCCUGUUCUUCUCAGGGACCAUGGCUGAAAUGCAAGGAGGGUGAGCUCAUGACCAAGUUAUGCCUUUUAAGGCCUCAGUUCAGGACUAGCAAUUGUCACUUCCGCUAUGUUUCAUUGGCCAAUGUGAGUUCAUGGCCACAUCCAGCAUCAGAGGGACUGGGAACUGUGCUUUGCCCGAGCCAGGGUCACGCAGCAGAAGGAGGGAGGGAGGUAUCGGGAGCAAUCCCAGCUGCCGCCUCAAUGCUACAGACUCAGGUGCCUCGUGCAGAACCAAGGAGCACCCAGGCCUCCCGUGUCUCCCGUGGGGUCCCCAGGUCCUCCUGACACUUUGCCCUCAGUAUUAGGUAAACUGGCUUGAGCCCCAGGCCGGCCACUGUGGGAUGUUGGAUCUCCCAGGGCUCAGGGCCCUGUGAUCCUGCGCCCUCUGGUUUCCUGAUUCUGCUCAAUGGGGCCCCUCUCCUCCCUGCACUGUUCCCCCUCCACCCCACCCCACACUGAGCUCAGGGCCCAGGCGGGAGUUCUCCAAACCCUCCCUCCCGCCUGGCGAAACAACAGGCCAUCGAUUUUGGGUUUCUAUUUCCGAUACGACAAAACACUGUGGAAGAUGUAUGAUUGCUAUUCUUACAGUGGUUGUUUUGCCUCAAACGUGAUGAAAUUCUUUCCCCCACCUGUCUGGGUGAUCCAAAGAGAGCGCUGCAAAGAUUCAUCUCCCGCCUGCCCUCCUGCUGGAGGUGCCCCGGGGGCAGCGUGCAGUGUUUUUUUCCAUCCUGCUGCACGGAUUAGCACAUGAAAGGUGCACUUGGCCCAGGAAGUGAUCUUUCCUGGAACAUCUAUUACCUAUCCUCUGACAGGGGCUGGUGUGCGAAAAGCCCUUCAGGAUUCAGGGUGCUUGGGAGGAUUAAAUAAAGGAAAUUGUACCAGGGCCCCUGUGCACUGAUAAGAAGUGAGUUGGUGUUCGUUCUCCUUUCUUUAGAGGACACCCCACCUUAGAUGACCCUGUAAUGACUGUCCAGGCCAGGACAUUUCAGAGAGCAAGGGGACACAGCUAUGAAUCAUGUCCAGACAACAGGCAUAAAGUGGGACUGUCCCAGGCCAGGUGGGACUUGUGUCUGCUCUAACCCACCAUCCCACCCUGGACUUUAUCAUGGACUCUGUUUCCUCCAGUGUCUCCCUCCCACCUCCAGGAGGAUGGGGCAGGGACAGGUAGGAAGGCCCCAGGCCCACCUGCAGUGCACAAGGCUGCCUUUUGGCCCUGGAGGGUGAGGCCCCUGGGUGGGCAGGGGCAGUGGAAACCAGCCGGGACUCAGAUUCUGACAGACCAUCCAGCCUUACGCCUCUCCAGAACUAGAAAAGCCCCAGGGAGAGGUCUGUGCCCCAAGGUGCGCCAUCAGCAGAGCCUCCAGCCCUGCCCCCAUGCCCAGCCGCUGGCUCCUCCAUGCCUCUGCAGACAGGGGGCCUGAUUUCCUUGGAUGACCUGGGAUGAGGGUGGGCAGCCCUCAGUUAGACCUUGGUUGGAUCGUGGCUCUGCCCCUGUGUGACUUAGCACAGGUCACCCCACCUCCCGGAGCCUCAGUUCCCUCAUCUGCGGAAAAUUGAUAAGAGGCCAGAUGAGAAAUUCAGGCAAGGCUUUACUGGGACAUGGGCUGCAGCACGAGGGAGCAAAAACAAGUAACUGGUUCUCCCCUCCUUGGGGAGGGGUGCGAGCUGGGCCCUUAAAUGGGACGAGGGUCGGGGCAGGCCCCGGGGUGGGGCUGGAGAGGUGGCUUAGGCGGUCUGCCCACCCUCUCCGUGGUGCUGUGUGCCGGGAUCAUGGACAGUAAGUGCCCUGCUUUUGCUCCCAACACCUCAGAAGUGGUAGGCAGCUGGGCUUUUGGUCUUUUUGUAUCUUGUUGUUCAUAAUUUGCGCAUGCACACAGUUAUUUCUAGUCCCUUAUAGUUUCUUUGCAUUCUGUUGUUCCGUCCCGGUGCAAGCACAGCAGCCCAGGGUUCUAGGUCCCAGGUCCCAAGUCCUAGCCUGUCUCACUUGGAGGAGCUCACGUUUUCGCUGAGCAGCCCUAGAGAACGGGUGGCCAGAGCCCUGCUUCCUCGACCUGCUCCUCACUUACGGCUGUGUGAUCUUAGGCUGGGCAUGGCCCCCUCUGGAGAUCAGUUUACCCUCCUGACAAAUGGGGGUGACAACCUGCUGUAUUCGUUCCCAUGAGCUGCUGUAUCAAAGUGUCACAAACUGAGCGACUUAAAACAACUGAAACUUAUUGUCUCACAGUUCUGAAAGCUAGAGGUCCCAAAUCAAGGUGUCAGCAGAGCCGUGCUCCCUCCGAAGCCCCUGGGGAGGAGUCAUCCUUGCUCUUCCAGCUUCCAGAGCCCUGGGCCUUCCUUGGCUUGUAGACUCAUCACUCCGGUCUCUGCCUCCACCUUUACGUGGUGUCUCCCUGUGCAUCUCUGUGUCCUAAUUCUCCUCUUCUUGCAAGAACACGGGACCUGUUGGAUUACGGCUCAUCCUAAUGACCUCAUCUUAAUCUGAUUAUAUCUGCAAAGCCCCCAUUUCCAAUGUUUCUUCAUUAAGCAACUGAAAGAAAAGCCUUCAUCCAGGUGUAGCGUGAAGACAUUUUCUGACUUCCUCUGUCUUGCCUGGUUCAAGUUCACCAACACUUUCCUGGAAAGCCCCACCAUCCUUGCUCACACUCUUGUGUCUCCUGACUUUGCUUCUUUAGGACAAAAGCCUUUUUCACAUUUUCAGAGAAUUCUCCUCCAGUGAGCUUUCACAAAGGCAAAGUUUUUAAUUCCAAUGAGGUCAACCUAAUCAUUUUUUCUUUUUAUGAUUCGUAUGUUUGGUGUCAAGUCUAAGAACUUUUUGCUUAGCCUCAGGUUAUGAAGAUAUCCUCCUAUAUUUUCUUCUUAAAGUUUCAUGUUUUGCAUCUAUGUAUAUGAUCCUUUUUGAGUUCCGUAUAAGUGUGUCAAGGUUAAUUCUGUUGUUUAUGGAUGUGCAAUUGCUGCAGCUCUGUUGAGUAGGCUAGCCCUCCUCCAUUGAAUUGCUUUUGCAUUUUGUCAAAAACCAAUUGAGCGUAUUUGUGUGGGUUUAUUUCAGGGUUCUUUCUUUUGUUCCAUUCAUCUAUGUGUCUAUCCUUCUACCAAAACCUCAGAGUCUUGAUUAAUGUAGCUAUAUACUAUCCCUUAACAUCACAUACAGCGAUUCCUCCCAUUUUCUUCCCUGCCAAGACUAUUUUAGCUGUCCUAGAGUCUCUGUUUUUCCAUAUGAAUUUUAGAAUAAGCUUGUCUAUGUUUAUUAAAAAAAACUUGCUGGGGUUUUAAUAAUUGUGUUAAACCUGUGUAUCAGUUUGGUGAGAAUUGACAUAUUUACUAGGUUGGGCAUUCAAAUCCAUGAGCACAGUCUGUUUCUCCAUUUGUUUAUUUAGGUCUUUUACACUUACUUUCAUGUAUAAUUUACAAUUUUCAGCAUAUAGGUUCUGUACAUGUUUUGUUUAGUGUAUAGCUAAAUGUUUCAUUUUCUUUGAUACAAUUGUAAAUAGUACUGUGUUUUUAAUUUUGGUGUCUGUGUGUUUUGUUAACUUAUAGAAAUAUAAUUGGUUUUUGUGCAUUGAUUUUGUAUCCCAAAACCUGAACACACUUAGUUCUGGAAGAUAUUUUGCAGAUUCCUUGAAAUUUUCUACACAGAUAACCCAUUGUCUGCAAAAGGGAUCAUUUUAUAUCUUCUUUUCCAAAUGAUAUGCCUUUUAUUUCUUUUUCUUACCUUAUUGCAGUGGCUAUGAAUUCCAAUACUACAUUAAAUAAGAGAGAUAAGAGCAGAUAUCCUUGC